rnacentral:rRNA from 1 species
GGUACCUGAAGAAUAAGCACCGGCUAACUACGUGCCAGCAGCCGCGGUAAUACGUAGGGUGCAAGCGUUAAUCGGAAUUACUGGGCGUAAAGCGUGCGCAGGCGGUUCUGUAAGAUAGAUGUGAAAUCCCCGGGCUCAACCUGGGAAUUGCAUAUAUGACUGCAGGACUUGAGUUUGUCAGAGGAGGGUGGAAUUCCACGUGUAGCAGUGAAAUGCGUAGAUAUGUGGAAGAACACCGAUGGCGAAGGCAGCCCUCUGGGACAUGACUGACGCUCAUGCACGAAAGCGUGGGGAGCAAACAGGAUUAGAUACCCUGGUAGUCCACGCCCUAAACGAUGUCUACUAGUUGUUGGGGACGAUAGUCCUUGGUAACGCAGCUAACGCGUGAAGUAGACCGCCUGGGGA